rnacentral:lncRNA from 1 species
CUCAUCCCACUCAAGAAGGUAGCUGGUGAUUUUUGAGCCAUUAUCAAUGGGCGCCUUCCAUUGUAAGGUUAAGGAGCUUUUGGUCCUGUGCGAGGGCUUGGGUGGGAAGGGACACUCUGGUGCUGAGCUGUGAGUGGUGAAGCUUACUGGCUCUGAGCAGGAUCCCCUUACUGAAUUGUAUGUUGCAUACACCCUGACAUGGUAAUCUGUUGCUGGCCUAAGGUCUUUCAGGUUGUAUUCUAAUUCUUCUCCACUGUAAAUAAUCUUGUAUUUUCCAUCCCUCCCUUUAUCUGAUAAGGCAACCUCGUAAGUACAGGCGUAAGGCAAACCAUUGUUGUGUCUAUCUGUGUUCAAAAGGCCAGCGGGAGGUGACCAUGACAGCAAAACUGUUCUUGCUUGAAUGUUUGUUACCUGUGGCUUCUCCAUUCCAGAAAGAAUGUCUUGAACCCUUUUUGUUUCUGAAUCAUAUUCAUGUGGCUCUUGUUCGGUAGACUUCGGGCUGCUUCUUGCUCUGCGCUCUGGCUUCUUCACUCCUGGUGCCCCCCCACCGCUUCCACUGCUCGCUCCAUUGUGGCUCUUUGCAUAACCAUUAUAUACAGUUGUGCAGCUGCCUAUAUGGCUUUUGUAGAUGGA